UUGUCGCUCUUUGUAUCUCUCGGUGCGUUUCUUCUCCCUGAGCUCUUGUUCUGUUCUCCUCAGUCUUUAGGGUGAUAUCACAGGAUUUUCAGUCACACACAGAGCUGAUGUGGAUGUUUCUGCUCCUCAUCGAUUCACUUUUAACACUCAUCAGAAAAGGAGAUUGUGGAGGGACGGAUCACAUGUGGAGUAUCAGACCCUACAGAAGAGAUAAAGGCAUUAAAUGAGAGAUGGACAACAGAGAGAAAGACUCAAAGCCUAAAAAAUCAUGGAAGCCUAUUCGCAGAGAAAGCAUGGAUAAAAAACCUAAUGUGUGUCUGGAUUCAGACGGACAUGCAAAGUUUCAUUCAGGUGAAUCAGAAACAGUCACAGAGGAGGUCACUUCAGUACAUCAGAGAUGUUCUGAGCUCUUCAGCUCCUUCAUCUUCUUCAUCAUCUGUCAUUCAGCAGUCAGUAAUGGAUCAGUAUGUCUCCCUCUGCUGGACACAUGCAGGUAGCACAAGAGGACGAUUAAAGGGACAGUUUACCAAAAAAAAUAAAAAAUAAAAAAAAUAAAUAAUAAAUAAAAAUAAAAAUAGGAGGAAAACUCUGUCAUCAUUUACUCACCCUCAAGUUGCUCCAAACAUGGUAUUUUGAGGAAAGCUGGUACAGAUUCAGAACAUAUUCUGCUACCCAUUUACCUCCAUAAUAUAUAUAUAUAUAUAUAAAAAAUAAAUAAAAAAUAUGAUCUCAAAAACUCAAAUACUAUGGCCGUCAAAGGCUACCAGCAAAUGUUUGGUUGCCAACAUUCUUCAAACUACCUGCUUUUGUGUUCAACAGAAGGCAGAAACUCAUACAAGUUUGGAAUAACGUGAGGACGAGUGAAUGAUGAGAAAAUUGUCAAUUUUAGGAGAACUGUCCCUUUAAAUAUUGUGUUGGUUCUGAGGGAAGGACAUCAUUCAGUACAUCAGUGUAAAACACUGUAGAUUGUGUUAAACUCUCUAGAUUAUCUGUCAUAUUUUGAAGCUUUUCUGUCAUGGUGUUUGAUCUGAAAGUGAAGCUCAGAAAACAUUUCACCAGUAUUUCGCACCUUAUUUGAUAAGUUCUCCUCAUUUUACUUGUUUCGGAGCCUAGAAAAACAAAAUAUAUUUCUGACUGUUCACUGUAACAGAGCUCAGUUAAAUGCUGCUUUACUCAUUUUCUGUUUAUUUUUAAAUUUGUUUAUAACUUGUAUAUGGUUCUUAUAAAAUAAAACCUCUGUGAGGUGCAUUACAUC